rnacentral:lncRNA from 1 species
UCAUCUAAAUCUACUGGAGCUUGGGUUUCAUCAUCAUCCUCAUUUUCCUCUAAGAUAGGUUCAUUAGGAUAAAGAGCAUUCAUAAUAUCAUCAUCUAAUCUAUCACCUAUUGCAACAUCAUGUAGAAAUUCACUAUCAGUAAAUUGAAAACAAGGGUGAUCACUAUCAAUGAUUACGAAGGGCGGAUUAGGACAUCUAGGUUGGCUACUACUUUCAUCUUGCUUAUCUUUUUUAGGUCGGGGAGCCGGGGGAAGGGUAGUAUUUUGGCC